UACAGAGGGUGCGAGCGUUGUCCGGAAUCACUGGGCGUAAAGGGCGCGUAGGCGGCCUGAUAAGUAGGGGGUGAAAUCUUGCGGCUCAACCGCAAGGCUGCCUUCUAAACUGUCAGGCUGGAGCACGGUAGAGGCAGAUGGAAUUCCCGGUGUAGCGGUGGAAUGCGUAGAUAUCGGAAGGAACAUCAGUGGCGAAGGCAGGUCUCUGGGCCACUACUGACGCUGAGAAGCGAAAGCGUGGGGAGCGAACAGG
rnacentral:rRNA from 1 species